GAUCAGUGGCGAACGGGUGAGUAACACGUGAGCAACCUGCCCCUGACUCUGGGAUAAGCGCUGGAAACGGCGUCUAAUACUGGAUAUGUGACGUGAUCGCAUGGUCUGCGUCUGGAAAGAAUUUCGGUUGGGGAUGGGCUCGCGGCCUAUCAGCUUGUUGGUGAGGUAAUGGCUCACCAAGGCGUCGACGGGUAGCCGGCCUGAGAGGGUGACCGGCCACACUGGGACUGAGACACGGCCCAGACUCCUACGGGAGGCAGCAGUGGGGAAUAUUGCACAAUGGGCGCAAGCCUGAUGCAGCAACGCCGCGUGAGGGACGACGGCCUUCGGGUUGUAAACCUCUUUUAGCAGGGAAGAAGCGAAAGUGACGGUACCUGCAGAAAAAGCGCCGGCUAACUACGUGCCAGCAGCCGCGGUAAUACGUAGGGCGCAAGCGUUAUCCGGAAUUAUUGGGCGUAAAGAGCUCGUAGGCGGUUUGUCGCGUCUGCUGUGAAAUCCGGAGGCUCAACCUCCGGCCUGCAGUGGGUACGGGCAGACUAGAGUGCGGUAGGGGAGAUUGGAAUUCCUGGUGUAGCGGUGGAAUGCGCAGAUAUCAGGAGGAACACCGAUGGCGAAGGCAGAUCUCUGGGCCGUAACUGACGCUGAGGAGCGAAAG
rnacentral:rRNA from 1 species